GAUGAACGCUGGCGGCGUGCCUAAUACAUGCAAGUCGAGCGAACGGACGAGAAGCUUGCUUCUCUGAUGUUAGCGGCGGACGGGUGAGUAACACGUGGAUAACCUACCUAUAAGACUGGGAUAACUUCGGGAAACCGGAGCUAAUACCGGAUAAUAUUUUGAACCGCAUGGUUCAAAAGUGAAAGACGGUCUUGCUGUCACUUAUAGAUGGAUCCGCGCUGCAUUAGCUAGUUGGUAAGGUAACGGCUUACCAAGGCAACGAUGCAUAGCCGACCUGAGAGGGUGAUCGGCCACACUGGAACUGAGACACGGUCCAGACUCCUACGGGAGGCAGGAGUAGGGAAUCUUCCGCAAUGGGCGAAAGCCUGACGGAGCAACGCCGCGUGAGUGAUGAAGGUCUUCGGAUCGUAAAACUCUGUUAUUAGGGAAGAACAUAUGUGUAAGUAACUGUGCACAUCUUGACGGUACCUAAGCAGAAAGCCACGGCUAACUACGU
rnacentral:rRNA from 1 species